rnacentral:misc_RNA from 1 species
AAAUUAAUUAAAUAAAAUUAAUUACAAGGUGAUUUAGAUAAUGAAAGUAGUAAAGUUGAACGACACAUUGGAGUAAGAAUAAUAGCAUAGGAAGAGUUUAUGUCACGCGAAUGAGUGAAGAAAAAAUUUAGAGUGGGAUAUAUGAUGUGUGUUAUAGGCAUGUGGAAGGAGAAAAAGUGAGUGAGGAGGAGAAUAAGCAAAGAGUUGGCGCGCCUUUGUUAUUCUGAGGGGUGAGAAGAGAAGAGCCGAACGAAACGCGUAAACAGAGAGUCAACAUGUAAACAGGCCACUCGUGAGACAAACAACGUAGUGGGAGAGCUCGUUACCAUGAGGCUUUCUUUCUUUCUCACUCAUAUUAGUCAUUCGAUCAUUCGUUCGCACGAGUGUAUAGUAUUAGACAUGUUCGUUCACGUUUUUACUCUGCGUACACGCGUUUGCGUUUAAAUCAUCAUGCAUUACUCUAAUUUUUAUUUCAUCAAACAUUAUAAGUCAUUUAAUUAUUUUUUUCACCACAAAACACAUUGAUGACUCGAAUGUAUCUUAUUGAUUGAGAUGUCACUCUAAUGAUUGCAAGAAUAAUUGUCGAGUGUUUAAUUAAAAAAUUAUUCUUUUCAUUUAUCGGAAACUGUGUGAUUUGUUUCGAACUUUUGUCUACCUUUUAACGUGUAUGUUUUGUGAAAUAAAUAAUAAAGUGAAUAAAGUGAGAAGAGAGAAAGAUGGGAGAGAGGAGGUAAUCGACGUCACAACACCACGCGGUUCAACAGGUGCGGCGAGUCGCGUCAUCGAGCGAGACGGAUACAUUGGUGAAGGUCCAUUUGACACUGGAUCCUGGGGAAAAAACCACUUCCAGUCAACUACGAUUCCUUGGCAGCUGAAUACACGCAGCCAAAAUCGACUCAGUGACGAUGGCAUAAUGGAUCAUGACACAGACGGAGACGGAGCGAUCAACUUGUCAACGUCUCAACGACCCUCUGCUUCGACCACCCCAAAUGGUGACGGUCCAGUCUACAGCCAAGAUCAACACGACAAAGAUCAGGCAACAACGCUAUAUGCUGUUUUGAAGCAACAUCAAACAAGAGAAUCACUGUGGGAUAGAGAAUCAAUACGCAAAGACAGAUCAAGUGUGACAGAAAAAAACGACGAUUUCACAAUCGAGUAUCGUAGCAAUGGAAAACUUAGCCCUACUGGGCAGAAUUCUGUGACAACUACACCCAUGACCCAACAAAAGCAACCAAUUAUUACUCAAUCAUCACAGCAACCUUGUUCAGGAACACCAGGCUCACAGCCGAGUCCACAUCAGAGUCCACAAACACCAAAUCGAGCCUCACCCCCUAAUCCCAAUCAGGGACAAUUGCCUGGUGGUCCACCUGGUGGUCCACCAUUGCAGAAUUCCUCACAGAUGAUGCUCAGCCCUGCUAGCGGUCUUCAUCAUCAAAUGCAGCAACUCCUUCAACAACACAUCCUCACACCAGCACAGCUGCAAACGUUUGUUCAACAACAUACUCUGUACCUUCAACAGCAGCAGCAGCAACAACAGCAACAACAACAACAACAGCAGCAGCAACAGCAACAACAACAUCAUCAGGAAACAUCUUCUGAUCAUGUCACGAGUCAAGACAGAUUCGGUGGUUAUUUUUCUUCAUUGAAAAGCCAUCAACAUCAACUGGCUGAAUUAGGAAGAAAACAAUUGGAACAAAAUAUGCAACAGCUACAAGAACAAUUGCAAUUGAAUCUUAUCCAACAGACACACCUUCUGCAGACAGCAGAUAAGAAGAAAACUUCAGUACCUCUUCAACAACUUGGAGUUCAACAACAUCAGAUUAUUCAACAACUUCAAAUGACACAGAGACAGUAUCUCUUUCAACAAGGAUUAAGUCUUCAAAGUCACAAUCAUUCUUCGGGGAAUUUAUCAAAUGAGUCAAUGCCAACGUGGAAAUCUGAAUCUUCAGAAGCUUCUGAAAGUCAUCAAAAUUCGAAUAUUUCUAAAGCUGCUUCAGGACUGAAUGGACUUAUUAAUUCAAUAUCGUCAACUCGACGAUCUGACGUCAACGGAACGACAAUUGAUGAAAAACCUCUAGAUGUUUCUUGUCAUGACAAGGCUCAUCCUCUCUAUGGCCAUGGAGUAUGUAAAUGGCCAAGCUGCGAAGUAAUUUGUGAUGACUAUCAAGCAUUCCUCAAACACAUGAACACGGAACAUACAUUAGAUGAUAGAUCAACAGCUCAAGCACGAGUACAAAUGCAAGUUGUGUCUCAAUUAGAGAUACAAUUACAAAAAGAACGUGAUAUCUUAGGUGCUAUGAUGCAUCAUCUUCAUGUAGCAAAACAAAUGGCAUCUCCAGAACCACCAAAGUCGUCUGAAUCAUCGACAGGUUCCAAUCUCCCUAAGCUAAGUUUAUCUUCCAAUUUAAUGAGUCAACCACCACCAAAUUUUGGAGUAUCUCAAGUGUCACCAGUUUCAAUGUCAGCUCUAGUAUCAGCAGUGAGGUCACCAGCAGGAGGACAACUUCCACCAACCGCUGGUGGUACUCCAAUGCCACCUAUUCCUAACAUGUCCAGUAUAGCAGGAAUACCAAUGCCUAAUAUGCCUGGAAGUAUGCCAACUAUUCCUGGAGGAAUGCCUAGCAUGGCUGGACCAAUCCGAAGAAGAAUUAGUGACAAGUCAGCUCUUUCAUUAGCUGGAGGGUUGCCCUACAUGCUGGAGCGGGCUGGCCUUGACGUCCAACAAGAAAUUCAACGGAAUCGAGAAUUUUACAAAAAUGCUGAUGUGAGGCCACCUUUUACCUAUGCUUCUUUAAUACGACAGUCAAUAAUUGAGUCACCAGAAAAACAAUUGACACUCAAUGAAAUCUACAACUGGUUCCAAAACACAUUCUGUUACUUCCGGCGGAAUGCCGCAACGUGGAAGAAUGCAGUGCGACACAACCUGUCUCUCCACAAAUGUUUCAUGCGAGUCGAAAACGUGAAAGGGGCCGUAUGGACUGUGGACGAAGUGGAGUUUUACAAGAGACGUCCUCAACGCGCUUGCAGCACGACUGGAACGCCAUCCGCACCAAUCUAUCAUUGCACAAGUGUUUUGUGCGCUAUGAGGACGACUUUGGGUCAUUCUGGAUGGUGGACGACGCCGAGUUCGUAAAGCGGCGGCAUCUGUCCCGCGGCCGCCCCAGGAAAUAUGACCCAACCCCAUCACCCACUCCACCCCACCUCUCCGCACAAGGAGUACCUUCUAAAAGCCCUACACUAACGCAUAGUCCAACCAUGUAUGGUGAUGCUCUCAAUGCCAAUCUCCAG